AUGGUAACUUCCUCUGAGGUUACGGUGAGCAGGGCAGGAAUUGAUCAGCGUAAAGCACUCAGAAGAGGGCCGCACAGAGGAAGUGCACGCUCAGUGCUGGGCCGUGGAGUUUGCGAUGUCACCCCGGCGGCCGGUGGGGGCGGGCCUCCGUGUGCAGUGGGGUUUCAGGGCACGGAGAGUGUGAGGGAGGAACGGCGUCCAUUGAGCACCCACUCUGUGGCCUGCACCUCUGUGGCAGUUGGCAAUCUGCAUCUGGCCCUCAGGACCACCCGGCAAGAUGGAGAGAAGGAGCACCUGGCUGGAGCAGUUAGUGAAGCCAGGACCCGAUGCUGGGUUUCCCGGCCCCCAGUCCCCUGUCCUGUGUCGUAUUCCUCCUCCUCCCCCUCCUCAUCACCACGACCACCACCACCAGCAUCAUCUGCAUGUUCCGUGCAUUCCCCCUGCAAAGCCCUGUGGAGCCCCCGGCCCGCGUUUCUGUUCCUAGUGGUUAUCACACUCGCCUCAUCAGGGGUCUGGUGAGGUAGGUACUAUCGCUGUCAUGUCCACUUUGCAGACGAGGAAACUGAGGUCCCAAGAGGACACGCUAGGAGGUGACAGAGCUGAGCCUGAGAGCCAGGUCUUGCCGGCGAAACACAAGGGCUUAGCCAGCAUGUCCUUUUCCUAAAGUCAAGAAGGAGCCGAGUGGAGCAGACAGGCAGUGAGAGCCAAGGGGCUCAGAGGAGGCAGGGCUGCGGCUGGCAAGGCAGCCUGGGAAGAUUCAGAGACUGGAGGGGCUGGGGCUGGGCCUGGGGUGCUGUGGAGAGACACGAGGGAUCCGCCUUGAGCGGGGCGUUGUGGAAGGCGAAGGGAGCCCGAAGCCGGAGACUGGGGGACCAGGGUGAGCCGGGGAGCUGGAGCCAGCCAGACCUGAGUGGGAAUCCCAGCUUUGCCGCUUCUGCUGGGCGACCCCCAUUCUCGUCCCUACUCCCCCCACCCCCCCAGCCUGUGAUUCUUCAGCUGGGAAGAGGAAUAAUAACCCUGCUUGUUGCUGCGGUUGGUGCUUAAUAAAUAC
rnacentral:lncRNA from 1 species